rnacentral:misc_RNA from 1 species
AUUUAACGUUGCACAUGUUGCAUAGUGGAUUUGUAAAUCCAGUCACAUCAUGGGAAAGAAGAAAGCUGAUAAAAAGGGUAAAGGAAAGGAAAAGACAGCUUUAAAAACAGAGAAGAAGGCAGAGAGAAAGGCUAAAAAGGAGUUGGCAAAGAAAGGAGAGGAUGACAUCGAAACAUUGAUUGCACAGUUCCAUGCAAAAGACCAAGAAAAGACAAAAUAUGUUGAGGAAAAGUGUGACCCACCUUCAGAAAGAUCAAACAUGACCUUGACCCCUCAUCCAGACAAAGAGGAACUGAUUAUGUUUGGUGGGGAGUUUCUGACUGGAAGCAAGAUGUACAUGUACAAUGAUCUGUUUUUCUACAAUAUCAAGAAGAAUGAGUGGACCAAAGUAACUGCACCCAAUGCCCCUCCUCCUAGGAGCUCUCACCAGGCAGUGGCUCUGAGACAACAUGGGGGACAGCUGUGGAUAUUUGGGGGAGAGUUUGCCAGCCCCACACAGUCUCAGUUCUAUCACUACAAGGAGCUCUGGGUCUACCACAUCAAGAACAAAUACUGGGAGAGAAUCAAUUCUCCAGGUGGUCCAUCCAGCAGAAGCGGUCACAGGAUGGUCCAGUGUAAGAAACUCCUCAUCGUGUUUGGUGGUUUCCAUGACAACACCCGAGAUUACAAGUACUUUAAUGACAUCUAUGCCUUCAAUGUGGAGAACUACACCUGGAGCAAGUUAGACGUCAGUGGGACCCCCCCUGCCCCGCGGUCCGGGUGUAUAUUAGCCGCCAUGCCAGACAGUUACAGGGUGACCGUGUACGGGGGAUACAGCAAAGAGAAGGUCAAGAGGGACGUAGACAAGGGCACCACUCACGUCGACAUGACAACGCUGAUGCCUGAAGGCAAGGUCAAAGACGACACCAUCCCUGCUAAAUGGAAAUGGGUCAACGCCAAGCAGUCUGGGGCUCGGCCCUCUCCCAGAUGUGGAUUGUCCUGUGCAGUAGCUCCUGGCAACAGGGCAUUCUGUUUUGGUGGUGUGUUUGAUGAGGAAGAAGAUGAAGAACAGUUAGAGGGAAAAUUUUUCAAUGAACUCUAUCUAUUAGAUAUGGAGAAAAACAGAUGGUAUUUAGUGAAUUUAAGAGGCAAGCGAGAAUCAACUGAAAAGAAGAAAAGAAGGCGGAAAAAGGAAGAUGGAGAAGAAAAUGAGGAUGGAAUAGAAGAGGAAAUGGAGGAUGAAGAUGAAGACGAAGAAGAUGGAGGAGGAGAUGAGGCCAUGGAAGUUACCACAGAGAAAGUGGGAAACAUGAACAUUGAAGGAGCAGAAGACACAGAAAUGCCAGAGGGAGCCACCAAUACCUUGUUUGAUGAUGGUGUGUUCCAAGUCAAAAUAGGACCAGCUCUUGGAUCUACCUCUGGAGAAGGGACGGGGGAGGGAGGUCAGGCAGUGCAGGUGUUCCAGCCCCAUGCCAGGAUGGGCGCUCUGAUGGCCGUCAAGAACGGAGUGCUCUUCAUGUAUGGUGGAAUGUUUGAGAGGGGAGAUAAACAAUUCACAUUCAAAGACUUUUACUCAUUAGAUCUGAACAAAAUGGAGGAGUGGAAUGUUCUGAUAGAAAAUGAUGAGUCAAAACUGGUAUGGGAUGAUUCUGGUUCUUCAGAUGAAGAAAUGGAAGCAUGCGGUGGUGAAGAUGAGGAAGAGGAAUCAUCGGAUGAUGAUGACGAUAUUGACGACAUCCUGGAAGGUUGUGAAGUGCCAAAUAAGAAUGAUGAAGAAACUAUGGAGGAGUAUUUCGAAAGGACGAAAGACUUUUGGAUUGAGCAAUCCAAAAAAUACUUUGAAAAUGAGGAAAUGCGAGUUACAACCAGAACUGUUACCAAGUUUGCUAAGGAAAUGUGUGCGGAGUAUGUCAAGAGGUGAAUGGAAUUCUGGGAAUAUGGUGGAAACUUUUGGUGCAAUAAAGUACUCUGUUAUCUCUGGGUCUGUUUGUAGAUGUAAAUUUAGCUUGAUGCUGUAUGUCAUGCUGUACGUUAUACAUUAUAAAAAAGAAUAUGGCUGC